GGACUACCCGCUGAACUUAAGCAUAUCAAUAAGCGGAGGAAAAGAAACUAMCAAGGAUUCCCUAGUAACGGCGAGUGAAGAGGGAAAAGCUCAAAUUUUGAAUCUGGUGCCUUUGGCAUCCGAGUUGUAAUCUAGAGAAGUGUUUUCUGCCUCGGACCACACAUAAAUUCCCUGGAAUGGGGUGUCAUAGAGGGUGAGAAUCCCGUUUGUGGUGUGGACUACCUUGGCUCUGUGAUACACUCUCAACGAGUCGAGUUGUUUGGGAAUGCAGCUCAAAAUGGGUGGUAAAUUCCAUCUAAAGCUAAAUAUUGGCGAGAGACCGAUAGCGAACAAGUACCGUGAGGGAAAGAUGAAAAGCACUUUGGAAAGAGAGUGAAACAGUACGUGAAAUUGUUGAAAGGGAAGCGUUUGAAGUCAGUCACAUUGGUUGGAAUUCAGCCUGGCUUCUGCCUGGUGUACUUUCUGGCGAAUGGGUCAGCGUCAUUUUGAUCGAGGGAGAAAGACUUGAGGAAUGUGGCUGUCUUCGGGCAGUGUUAUAGCCUCUUGUUGUAUGUCUCGGUUGGGAUUGAGGAUCGCAGCACGCCUUAUGGCCGGGGUUCGCGCCCUCGGUACGUGCUUAGGACGCUGGCAUAAUGGCUUUAAGCGACCCGUCUUGAAACACG
rnacentral:rRNA from 1 species